rnacentral:rRNA from 1 species
AUGAACGCUGGCGGCGUGCCUAAUACAUGCCAGUCGAGCGAACAGACGAGGAGCUUGCUCCUCUGAUGUUAGCGGCGGACGGGUGAGUAACACGUGGAUAACCUACCUAUAAGACUGGGAUAACUUCGGGAAACCGGAGCUAAUACCGGAUAACAUGUUGAACCGCAUGGUUCAACAGUGAAAGACGGUCUUGCUGUCACUUAUAGAUGGAUCCGCGCCGCAUUAGCUAGUUGGUAAGGUAACGGCUUACCAAGGCAACGAUGCGUAGCCGACCUGAGAGGGUGAUCGGCCACACUGGAGCUGAGACACGGUCCAGACUCCUACGGGAGGCAGCAGUAGGGAAUCUUCCGCAAUGGGCGAAAGCCUGACGGAGCAACGCCGCGUGAGUGAAGAAGGUCUUCGGAUCGUAAAACUCUGUUAUUAGGGAAGAACAAAUGUGUAAGUAACUAUGCACGUCUUGACGGUACCUAAUCAGAAAGCCACGGCUAACUACGUG